UAACAAAUAAAACCAGCACCCUGCACUAUAG
rnacentral:piRNA from 1 species